GACGAACGCUGGCGGCGUGCUUAACACAUGCAAGUCGAACGGAAAGGCCCUGCUUUUGUGGGGUGCUCGAGUGGCGAACGGGUGAGUAACACGUGAGUAACCUGCCCUUGACUUUGGGAUAACUUCAGGAAACUGGGGCUAAUACCGGAUAGGAGCUCCUGCUGCAUGGUGGGGGUUGGAAAGUUUCGGCGGUUGGGGAUGGACUCGCGGCUUAUCAGCUUGUUGGUGGAGUAGUGGCUUACCAAGGCUUUGACGGGUAGCCGGCCUGAGAGGGUGACCGGCCACAUUGGGACUGAGAUACGGACCAGACUCCUACGGGAGGCAGCAGUGGGGAAUAUUGCACAAUGGGCGGAAGCCUGAUGCAGCAACGCCGCGUGCGGGAUGACGGCCUUCGGGUUGUAAACCGCUUUCGCCUGUGACGAAGCGUGAGUGACGGUAAUGGGUAAAGAAGCACCGGCUAACUACGUG
rnacentral:rRNA from 1 species